rnacentral:rRNA from 1 species
AUUGAACGCUGGCGGCAUGCCUUACACAUGCAAGUCGAACGGCAGCACGGGUGCUUGCACCUGGUGGCGAGUGGCGAACGGGUGAGUAAUACAUCGGAACAUGUCCUGUAGUGGGGGAUAGCCCGGCGAAAGCCGGAUUAAUACCGCAUACGAUCUACGGAUGAAAGCGGGGGACCUUCGGGCCUCGCGCUAUAGGGUUGGCCGAUGGCUGAUUAGCUAGUUGGUGGGGUAAGGGCCUACCAAGGCGACGAUCAGUAGCUGGUCUGAGAGGACGACCAGCCACACUGGGACUGAGACACGGCCCAGACUCCUACGGGAGGCAGCAGUGGGGAAUUUUGGACAAUGGGCGAAAGCCUGAUCCAGCAAUGCCGCGUGUGUGAAGAAGGCCUUCGGGUUGUAAAGCACUUUUGUCCGGAAAGAAAUCCUUGGCUCUAAUACAGUCGGGGGAUGACGGUACCGGAAGAAUAAGCACCGGCUAACUACGUG